UUAGCGACAGUCGGCGUUAAGGGGUUAAGUCUUGGCAGUAACAACAUAUUACAACUGGUAGCAAUACCAUGCAAAUUUCUGGUGACAGCAGGGUGUUGCAUAUUUCAAAUCCAUUUAUCAAUUUUCUCUGACUUUUAGAUUUGUCCCAAUGGACCUGUGGAAAUGGAAUUCCCAGCCUGUGAUGAAGUUUGGGAUGCAAGCUGGGGAUUUCCUUCUUUCCACCAACAUUUUGUUGUCGGGGAAUAACUAUGGGAAAGUUUCCCUCUUGUUUAAAUUCAUGAACAUGGGCAUGGUGAACCCAAACACAUUUUGCACAAUUCAGGACACAUACCGUGUUGACGCAGUAAAGGAAUACUGGGAAGAAGGGAAAGACGUUGUGGUGCUAGGUGUAUAUUUAAAAAUUUUACAUGGCGCAUUAAUAAAUUACUUGCAGCAAUGACAGAUUCUUAUAUAUAGCCUUACUACGAAAUAUGCCUGGGUUUUUACAGGGGAUGGCAAAAAUGAUUCACCAGGGCAUUGUGCCCAGUACUGCAGCUACACCACGAUGUAGCUUGACACCAAGGAGAUCAUUCACGUAGCCACAAUAGACAAGCAGCAGACAUCGUGGAACUCCAACAUCAUGGAGAAGGUUUAUCCAGACUGUGGACAAGCUUUCCAGAGAGAUAAAGCUGGUGGAGAUCUGCACAGAUGCUCAUAUCCAGAGUGGAGCCCUUAUGAACCCUGACAAACCAUCGUUGGAUGUUGGGAUUCAUCACUGUCUGGACAUGUGGCACGGUGCCAAGAAUCAGGCCAAAAUACUUGAUGCUGCAGCGAAGGUGAAAGGACAGUCCGUUCUCCUCCACAGGUUGAAGGACAUCGUCAGCCAUUUUUGGUGGUGUUGCAAGACUGCUGACUCCGAAGAGCAGUUUCUUGUAAGGAUGACUGUUGUUAUUGUACUGAUUGUAGCUGCUAUAUGGGGGAAAGGCUUGGGAAGCAGUGGAUCCAGAGAGAUUCUAAGUCUCACAAAGCAUUAGUGGACAUCGUUUUCAACAAGCGCUGGCUGAAGUAUGUCCACGAAUAUCUGCGUUUUAGGUAAAGCGUGUAAAGAUGUAACAUUGUACAAAAAAUUGUGUGUGUGUGUGUGUGUGUGAUUUAUUUUCAAUUCAACCAGAGCAACAGCAGACCUGGAGUCAUUCCAGAACCAUAUUCUCACGUAUGCCAGCAAGCGAUUUGCUUUCACUCCCCCGGUUUAUGAGGCAAGAGUUCGGCUGGCAGCUCUUGACUACAAUUUUAAUACAUGCAGUAUUUUCUUGUAAAGUAAACCCACAGGCACACAGUGGUUUGGG